GACGAACGCUGGCGGCGUGCUUAACACAUGCAAGUCGAACGGAAAGGCCCUGCUUUUGUGGGGUGCUCGAGUGGCGAACGGGUGAGUAACACGUGAGUAACCUGCCCUUGACUUUGGGAUAACUUCAGGAAACUGGGGCUAAUACCGGAUAGGAGCUCCUGCUGCAUGGUGGGGGUCGGAAAGUUUCGGCGGUUGGGGAUGGACUCGCGGCUUAUCAGCUUGUUGGUGGGGUAGUGGCUUACCAAGGCUUUGAUGGGUAGCCGGCCUGAGAGGGUGACCGGCCACAUUGGGACUGAGAUACGGACCAGACUCCUACGGGAGGCAGCAGUGGGGAAUAUUGCACAAUGGGCGGAAGCCUGAUGCAGCAACGCCGCGUGCGGGAUGACGGCCUUCGGGUUGUAAACCGCUUUCGCCUGUGACGAAGCGUGAGUGACGGUAAUGGGUAAAGAAGCACCGGCUAACUACGUG
rnacentral:rRNA from 1 species